UCCCGACCGGCGGCGCUGGGGCCGCUCUCCGCGAGGAGGACGAAGGGAGCCCGGCCUCACGGGGGGCGCGCGGGGCCGCGCUCCGCCGCUGUCCUCGAGAGCCCGUCCCUCAGGGCCGUCGCUUACGGGACCGCGGGACGCUCGGUUUGCUCGGGAAACCGCCCGUUCUGGCCGCGAGCGGCUGAGGUCGUCUGCGGAUAAGAUCGGUAUUAGGCCGUUGUUCCUGUGUUACAGCUGUACUAUAGCACUGUGCUCUCCCUCCGAUCUCCCAGGCUGGUGUGUUACAGAAGAUGUGAUGUGACCAGCUUGCCGCGCCUGUGGCAAAGAACAGGUACCUUUACUCAAAGCGACAAGCCCUUUCAAGUUAAGGGAGCAGUGGGAAAUGAAAGUUUAAUAUUGAGAUGGCUGGAAACGAAGAUUCUUUAGCAUUGUUUUAACGUGAUCUCUGCCGUGAAGUUUCCUGAUUAAAAGCUUUGUAAUUUGUGGUCUGUGCUUUUCCAGGAUGUACCUUUAAAUAGUCAAAUGCAGCUACUGGAAUCUUUGGGAGUGGGAGAGUAAUGGUUGGUAAGAAAUACAAAUAAUUUGGCUGACUGGUGUAGCCAUCAACAAAACUGCAGUACAAUUUGCAUCUAUUGCUGAAAUCUGAUUCUAAGCAAUGAAUAAGCAGUGGUUAGUGUUGGUUUUAUGUAGGAAAUGUUGAAAUGCCAGCUUUUGAGGGAAAGAUGAAGCAGGAUGAAAAUGGAUACUGACACUUCCUAAUUUCCUGGGGGAGUAGGGUUCUGAAUUUAACUUGAUGUGAAAAAAGAUCUCCCUCGACAACUUAUACAUAAACCUAUCACUUAGCUUUUCCCAGGUAUUAUUAAAUGCCCUUUCUGAAACUAAUCUGACUAUGAGGUAAGGCAUUUCAGUUGAUAUUUCUAUAACAUUCUGAGUAAUAGCUCAGUAAGUGUGCUAGCAACUUGCCUCUUGUCCAGUUUGUCAUAAAUAAUGCACGGUUUGUAUCAAAGCCAGUGUUUUAAAUCUACAACAGACAUAGAAGUCACAAACAAAUGUUCAUGUGGGAAAACAAAAAUGCAAGAUGAAUUCUGUUAGUAUGAACUAUUUGAGUCUUGAGUAUAUUAACCCUUGUUUGUGAAUAACUGUUGACUCCGAAAGCAAGAAGCUAUCAAAUGAAGAUGUGAUGGAAGGUACGCUGAACAAUCGUAACUAAAAGGAGUACAACAUUCUACUAUUUCUAGAAGCAUGUCUGAAGAGAUCUUAUUUCAAUAUUACUCAAGUGUCUGUUGCAGAAUUAUUUCUUGUGUUUCUGUUUUGUUACGUUUUUCUGAAAUUAUUGGCUAAAACACUGCCACUUCCUUGGCUAUAUUUCUCAAUUAAUAAAUGCACUCAAUGAA